rnacentral:lncRNA from 1 species
CCUAUUUAAUAAAUGGUGCUGGGAAAACUGGCUAGCCAUUUGUAGAAAGCUGAAACUGGAUCUCUUUGUAUUUCUAACAAAACUGUAUGAAAGAGUUAUGUAUAUUUAUUAAUUCUUUCCAAUUACUCUUCUUUCAUUCUCUGCUGUACUCAAUCCAUUUAUGGUUAUACCACCACCAUUCACUAAAAUUGAAGCUUUUACUUUGGUCUAGUGGUCAGUUGACCUACCACUAGCUUUUGUCACAAUGUGACUUCCCAAUGUACAUCUCUGGCCUAGCCUUUUCCCUUGAACUCCAGACUCCUCUAUCCACCUGCUUAUUUCAUGUUUCCACUUGGAUGUCCAAGGAGUAAACCAAACUUAAAACUGAAGCCCUUAUGUGGCAUCCUUUCCAAUAUGGUUUUUCUAAAAUCAGUUAAAGGUAAUUCUGUUAGACAAAAUCAAAACCAAACAUUAUUAGAGUACAGUCAUGUUUUAGCCCUCUGUUUUUUCAUAUAUUACAUCUGAUCUAUCAGCAAAUCUUACCAUUUCUACCUUUAAAAUGUAUUCAAAAUCUAAUCAUUUCUUAUCCAAUGUCUAAUGCACCUACCGUGACCCAAGCUAUCAUUAUAUCUUACCUCAGUUAGUACAGUGAACUUCUAAUUUGUCUCCCUGUUCCUGACUCUUGUCCCCUAAGUAUUAUCUUAACACAGCGGCCAGAGAGAGCAUUUUAAAAACAGAAGCCAGAUCAUGUCACUUGUCUGUUCUUGUUCUCAUCCUACUCCAAGUAAAGCCAGAGUCUUAAAAUGGCCUAUAAAGCCAUAUAUGAUCUGACUAUUAUCUAUCUGAUUCCAUCUGCUCUUCUACUCUUCAUUCACUCUGCUUCAGACACAUUGUACUACUGUGUAAAUGACACAUGCUUGCAUAAGCUCCCCUUUUUUGCUCUUUUUCUUCCUGCUGUGCUGAAUAUCCAUAUGACUAGGUUCUUAUCUUCCUUCAGCAGAGAGAAAACCAUUUUUCUUUCAGGUAUUUACUUAGAUGUCACCUUCACAGUAAGUCUUUCUGGGCUAUCUUCUGUAAAAUUUCAACAACCGCAAUCCUAACUCUUCCUAUCCUCAUUCCCUGCUCUAUUUUUACUUCCUGAUACCUGCCACUAGUUAACAUACUAUUUUAAUUAUCUGGUUUAUAGUCAGAUUCUUUAACUAGAAUAUAAGCUCCAUAACAACAGGGGUUUUUGUGUUUUGGGUUCACUACUGAAUUCCACAUGCCUAGAAUACUGUCCGGCAUUUGCUAGAUGCUCAGUAAACAUUUGUUUUAUAAUGUGAAUUUUAAAACUAGCUAAAAUAACAAAAAUUAGGCAC